rnacentral:rRNA from 1 species
UGUGAACUCGAAGAGUAGGGCGGGACACGUGGUAUCCUGUCUGAAUAUGGGGGGACCAUCCUCCAAGGCUAAAUACUCCUGACUGACCGAUAGUGAACCAGUACCGUGAGGGAAAGGCGAAAAGAACCCCGGCGAGGGGAGUGAAAAAGAACCUGAAACCGUGUACGUACAAGCAGUAGGAGCCCACUUGUUGGGUGACUGCGUACCUUUUGUAUAAUGGGUCAGCGACUUAUAUUCUGUAGCAAGGUUAACCGUAUAGGGGAGCCGCAGGGAAACCGAGUCUUAACUGGGCGUUAAGUUGCAGGGUAUAGACCCGAAACCCGGUGAUCUAGCCAUGGGCAGGUUGAAGGUUGGGUAACACUAACUGGAGGACCGAACCGACUAAUGUUGAAAAAUUAGCGGAUGACUUGUGGCUGGGGGUGAAAGGCCAAUCAAACCGGGAGAUAGCUGGUUCUCCCCGAAAGCUAUUUAGGUAGCGCCUCGUGAAUUCAUCUUCGGGGGUAGAGCACUGUUUCGGCUAGGGGGUCAUCCCGACUUACCAACCCGAUGCAAACUACGAAUACCGAAGAAUGUUAUCACGGGAGACACACGGCGGGUGCUAACGUCCGUCGUGAAGAGGGAAACAACCCAGACCGCCAGCUAAGGUCCCAAAGUCAUGGUUAAGUGGGAAACGAUGUGGGAAGGCCCAGACAGCCAGGAUGUUGGCUUAGAAGCAGCCAUCAUUUAAAGAAAGCGUAAUAGCUCACUGGUCGAGUCGGCCUGCGCGGAAGAUGUAACGGGGCUAAACCAUGCACCGAAGCUGCGGCAGCGACGCUUAGGCGUUGUUGGGUAGGGGAGCGUUCUGUAAGCCGUUGAAGGUGGCCUGUGAGGGUUGCUGGAGGUAUCAGAAGUGCGAAUGCUGACAUAAGUAACGAUAAUGCGGGUGAAAAACCCGCACGCCGGAAGACCAAGGGUUCCUGUCCAACGUUAAUCGGGGCAGGGUGAGUCGACCCCUAAGGCGAGGCCGAAAGGCGUAGUCGAUGGGAAACAGGUUAAUAUUCCUGUACUUGGUGUUACUGCGAAGGGGGGACGGAGAAGGCUAUGUUGGCCGGGCGACGGUUGUCCCGGUUUAAGCGUGUAGGUGUGUGUUCCAGGUAAAUCCGGUUCACUUUAACACUGAGGCGUGAUGACGAGGCACUACGGUGCUGAAGUGACAAAUGCCCUGCUUCCAGGAAAAGCCUCUAAGCAUCAGGUAACAUCAAAUCGUACCCCAAACCGACACAGGUGGUCAGGUAGAGAAUACCAAGGCGCUUGAGAGAACUCGGGUGAAGGAACUAGGCAAAAUGGUGCCGUAACUUCGGGAGAAGGCACGCUGAUAUGUAGGUGAAGUGAUUUACUCAUGGAGCUGAAAUCAGUCGAAGAUACCAGCUGGCUGCAACUGUUUAUUAAAAACACAGCACUGUGCAAACACGAAAGUGGACGUAUACGGUGUGACGCCUGCCCGGUGCCGGAAGGUUAAUUGAUGGGGUUAUCCGUAAGGAGAAGCUCUUGAUCGAAGCCCCGGUAAACGGCGGCCGUAACUAUAACGGUCCUAAGGUAGCGAAAUUCCUUGUCGGGUAAGUUCCGACCUGCACGAAUGGCGUAAUGAUGGCCAGGCUGUCUCCACCCGAGACUCAGUGAAAUUGAACUCGCUGUGAAGAUGCAGUGUACCCGCGGCAAGACGGAAAGACCCCGUGAACCUUUACUAUAGCUUGACACUGAACACUGGUCCUUGAUGUGUAGGAUAGGUGGGAGGCUUUGAAGUGUGGACGCCAGUCUGCAUGGAGCCAUCCUUGAAAUACCACCCUUUAAUGGCUGGUGUUCUAACGUGGGCCCGUAAUCCGGGUUGCGGACAGUGUCUGGUGGGUAGUUUGACUGGGGCGGUCUCCUCCUAAAGAGUAACGGAGGAGCACGAAGGUCAGCUAAUCCUGGUCGGACAUCAGGAGGUUAGUGCAAUGGCAUAAGCUGGCUUGACUGCGAGCGUGACGGCGCGAGCAGGUGCGAAAGCAGGUCAUAGUGAUCCGGUGGUUCUGAAUGGAAGGGCCAUCGCUCAACGGAUAAAAGGUACUCCGGGGAUAACAGGCUGAUACCGCCCAAGAGUUCAUAUCGACGGCGGUGUUUGGCACCUCGAUGUCGGCUCAUCACAUCCUGGGGCUGAAGUAGGUCCCAAGGGUAUGGCUGUUCGCCAUUUAAAGUGGUACGCGAGCUGGGUUUAGAACGUCGUGAGACAGUUCGGUCCCUAUCUGCCGUGGGCGCUGGAGAAUUGAGGGGGGCUGCUCCUAGUACGAGAGGACCGGAGUGGACGCAUCACUGGUGUUCGGGUUGUCAUGCCAAUGGCAUUGCCCGGUAGCUAAAUGCGGAAGAGAUAAGUGCUGAAAGCAUCUAAGUACGAAACUUGCCCCGAGAUGAGUUCUCCCUGACUCCUUGAGAGUCCUGAAGGAACGUUGAAGACGACGACGUUGAUAGGCCGGGUGUGUAAGCGCAGCGAUGCGUUGAGCUAACCGGUACUAAUGAACCGUGAGGCUUAACCUU